rnacentral:rRNA from 1 species
CCCUUAGAUGUCCUGGGCCGCACGCGCGCUACACUGAGUGUCUGAGAUACGAGUCUGCCUAGCCGGCGAGGUCUAGGUAAUCGCUGAAAGACACAUCAUGCUUGGGAUAGAUUAUUGCAGAUAUUAAUCUUGAACGAGGAAUUCCUAGUAAGCACAAGUCAUCAGCUUGUGUUGAUUACGUCCCUGCCCUUUGUACACACCGCCCGUCGCUCCUACCGAUUGAAUGUUCCGGUGAGCUCUUCGGACUGCGCAGUCUGCAGUUUCUGCGUUCCGUGCGGAAAGUUGCGCAAACCUUAACAUUUAGAGGAAGGAGAAGUCGUAACA